rnacentral:lncRNA from 13 species
UGCCUUUUUCAUAAUUUACAAUCUUUUUCAUUUAUCCUAGUUUGCGAUAAGCAGACAUAUUAUGUAUGUUACAUAUAUGUAAAAGUAGAAUGCUUUCUAUGAUCGCAGCUAGAUCUUUGUGCUUGUAUUAUUUGUGUGAUUUUAUACUUUCUUCAAAUUCAAUAAACUGUGUGCCGAAUUGUUUUUUCAGUCAUAAUACAGCCCUACAUUGAACAAGAUUUUACUAAUAUCAUUAAAAUUGAAAUUAAUAUUAACUCUUUCCCUCCCCAAAAAAAAACUGCAAAGAAUUUAUUGCAAAAAAUAUCACCUCAGCCAGGGUUCAAUGUAAGGCUCUGUUAUGACUAAAAUACAAUUCGGCGAACAGUUUAUUGAAUUUCAGGAAAGUGUAUAAAAUCACACAAAUAAAACAAGCACAAAGAUCUAGCUGCGAUUAGAAUUCUUGUUCAAGUUGUAUUGUAAAUUGAUUUAUUGCGUAUUGUUUAUUGAUUUAUUGCUAAUUUAUUUCAUUGUUAAUUGAGUUUAUUGCUCUAUUUAUAUUUUGAUAUGUUUAAUCUAUAAUGUAUGAGUAAGUAAAUAUACAUAACACAUGUUGUAUUUUACAUUUAUGCAAAAUAAAAUGUGACAAUUUUAUUUUUACCAGUAUUUCCUUCGUAAUGUUUUCUUUUUUCCCUAAUUAUUAUUAAUAUUAAUUAUUACCGACAGAUACCUAAAUAUUACCGACAAAUAUUGCUUAGUAGCAAGUAGUUCCAUUUUACUUGAGGUGGUACAGCGAGGACGCCACUAACGCUGGCUUUGUGGGCUAUUGCAGUAGCCCGGGAAAUAUAUCAGGUCGUAAUUAAUAUGGUACGCGACAGUGUUGUUAGCCGGAUUGACGGUAUAUUUUAAACAACAUAAAGUAGUUAUACAGCGAGGAUUACAGGAUGAUGUAAUAUAACUAAAGACGCACGAUUAUACCGACACGCGGGCAUGUGUGUGUGCACAUGCAUGUAACUCGACGACGUACAGAGCUCGAAUGCUCACGCAGCGCUGCUCGGCACUCUCGGCAGAACCCGGCUUCGACCAUAGACUACGAAUAGCGUAGAGGGAACUCGCCGGUCGCCACAGCUUCAUCGAAAUACACGGGAGAUUGGAAGCCUUGCUUACAACCAGGGAAUGGAAAGUUACUUUUUAAAAGUAACUUGUUAUUGUUACUCGUUACCGAAUCAAAAAGUAUAGUUAAUGCCAAAGAUAAUGGAAAGAUUAAUAGUAUCGCAGAGAUUAAGAAACACAUUACAAGAUGGUUUCAACACGCUGGUAAUAAGAUGCAAUAUUACUUAAAAAAACAAGCCGACAUUCUAUAAUGUAUGAUUAAUGUUUUUAUAUACAGAUUUUUAUCUUUUUUUGUUUAUUGUAUAGUGUUACUGUUAUGUGAUAAGAUGCGGUAUUACUAAAAAAAAGCACAAUAACUAUGACAUGACUAA